rnacentral:rRNA from 1 species
AUGGUUUCCUCCUCCGCCUCCCCCAGGGAGGAGGAGGGCGGCGGCCCCCGUUUGCCCUCGCUCCGCGGCAAGAAAAGGAGAAUGCGAGGCAGAACGGCCUCGCCGGAGCCGGCUUCCACGGCCGCGCCGCCGCAGACAUAUGGAAAGUGGCAUCCAGAUGAAUCGAACAGACCUGAAAUUGAUGAUGCUCCUGUAUUUACCCCAACUGAGGAGGAAUUCAAAGAUGCAAUUGGGUACAUUACUAGCAUUCGUCCUCAAGUAGAAAAAUAUGGAAUUUGUCGUAUUGUUCCACCAUCUUCUUGGAGACCACCAUGUCCUCUAAAGGAGAAGAGCUUUUGGAAAUGUACAGAGUUCAACACCCGAGUUCAACAAGUUGACAAGCUUCAAAAUCGGGAACCCCCCAAAAAAGAAACACAACCUCGAGUUCAGAAGAAAAGAAAGAGAAGAAAGAAACUGAGGUUUGGGAUGUCUCAGAAGCGACGUAGCGCUGACUCUGCAGACCAGGAUGAGAAGUUUGGCUUUCAGUCUGGCUCAGAUUUCACACUAGAGGAGUUCCAGAAAUACGCUGAUAUGUUCAAGGAGCAAUAUUUUGGAAUGAAGGGAAGUGAUGAAAUUUCUCUUUUUGAAAUUAAACAGCACAAAGAAAUGUGGCGACCAUCAGUUGAGGAAAUUGAGGGAGAAUAUUGGCGGAUAGUUGUAUGCCCUGAUGAUGAAGUUGAGGUGGAUUAUGGUGCUGAUCUGGACACUGCAAUAUUUAGUAGUGGAUUCUCUAAAUCAUCUCUAUCAGAUGCAAAUAAGCAAGAUCCAUAUGGUUUAUCUUGCUGGAACUUGAAUAAUCUGCGACGACAACCUAGAUCUGUUCUUUCAUUUGAAACUGAGGAUAUAUCUGGUGUUGUGGUCCCUUGGCUUUAUGUUGGGAUGUGUUUCUCAUCAUUUUGCUGGCAUGUGGAAGAUCAUUUCCUUUAUUCUCUGAAUUACAUGCAUUUUGGUGAACAAAAAGUAUGGUAUGGUGUUCCUGGUGAAAAUGCAGUGAAGCUAGAAGAUGCUAUGAGAAGGAACUUGCCAAGACUGUUUGAAGAACAGCCUGAUCUCCUGCAUGAGCUGGUCACACAGUUAUCCCCUUCUGUUCUAAAAUCAGAAGGAAUUCCUGUUUACCGUGUUGUUCAGAAUCCAGGCGAGUUUGUUCUGACAUUACCACGAGCUUACCAUUCUGGGUUCAACUGUGGCUUCAACUGCGCAGAGGCAGUAAAUGUUGCUCCUGUGGACUGGCUGCCCCAUGGACAAUGUGCUGUUGAGCUAUACAGAGAUCAGCGGCGCAAGACAUCAAUAUCACAUGACAAGUUAUUACUUAAAACUGUACAAACAGCUCUCAGACAGGUUUGGGCGAACCUACACAACUGCAAGAGUGGUCAGAAGGAAUACAUAUGGCUUGAUACCUGUGGAAAAAAUGGAAUGCUCACAAGUGCAUUUAAGACAAGAAUUAAAAUGGAAGGUGCAGCACGUGAGGCGAAUGCUCUUUUGCAAUGUAAGAAGAUGGAUCAGGAUUAUGAUUCAACGGACCGCGAAUGCUUUUCAUGCUUUUAUGAUCUUCAUUUAUCUGCUGUCAGUUGCCAAUGCUCGCCAAACCGUUUUGCUUGCUUAAAUCAUGCAAAUCUUUUAUGUUCAUGUGAAAUGGAUAGAAAAUUUGUGUUGCACCGAUACAGUAUGGAGGAGCUGAAUGCUCUUGUUGCAGCUCUGGAGGGAGAUCCAGCUGCAGUGUAUCAGUGGAAAGAGUAUGAUGUAGGCUUAGUUUGCCUAUCUGCUUCUACGCAGCAGAAGAUGGACUUAAGUAAAAGUACAAAUUUAUCUGGAUCAAUUAUUGAUGUCAACACUGAUUGCGGCUUUGAUGGCUGCAAGGACCUUGACAAGUCAGCGGGAUAUCCGCAAGAGAAGGAAGUGCAGAAUAGAUGUGUUAAUCUGAACAUAGAAGGUCCAUCCAGUAGUCCUAGAAUAAAAGAAGAGUUAGUAUGUAGUUCUAGCACAUCAAAUACAACAGGUUUCUCAAGCUCUACAUUUAGUGCUUUAGGAAAGAUUGACAAGGACAAGAUGGCCAUGGAGUUGGGGUCCCUGCAGACAAGUAAUCCAACUAUUUCAAGUUUCCAGUGCACACAGUCCUUGAGUCAUUCAUCUGAAUUAUCAUGCCCUUCUCGAAUAUCAACAGGAUCUACUCUACCUUCCAAAACUACUAAGGAACUGUUUGGCAUUGAGACUGAAUACUGUGUGGCCAAGGCUUCACGUGCCCAGGUUAGUCAACUGGGCAAACCUUCUUCAAGCCAAUCCAAUGAAGUCUCCUGGCCAGCAAAAUUACGACAUCAGGUUGAGCAACUCGACCAAGGAACAGUAAUAGUUGGCAAAAAUUGGUGCAGCCAUCAAGCUAUCUUCCCAAAAGCUAUGUUCCCAAAAUCAUUACAGGUGGCUGUGGAGGAGUUUCCUGAGGUUUCUUUUACUCACACUUCACCAAUGCAGUGUUGGGAUAGUGUGAGAGACAGGGUGAAUGAAGAGAUAAAAAAGCAAUGUAGGGCUGGAAAAUCUGGCGUUCCUGCUUUAUUAUCGAACGAUUCUGUAAAUGGGCUUGAAAUGUUUGGUUUCUUUUCCCCACCAAUAAUUGAGGUAAUCGAGGCUCUAGAUCCCGACCACAAGUGCUUAGAUUAUUGGUUGUCUAAGCAUACACCUCCUCUGUAA